rnacentral:rRNA from 1 species
UGGGGAAUAUUGCGCAAUGGGCGAAAGCCUGACGCAGCAACGCCGCGUGGGGGAUGAAGGUUUUCGGAUUGUAAACCCCUUUCGAUCGGAACGAAUCUCCUCCUGGUAAACAAUCAGGAGGAUCGACGGUACCGAGAGAAGAAGCCACGGCUAACUCUGUGCCAGCAGCCGCGGUAAGACAGAGGUGGCUAGCGUUGUUCGGAUUUAUUGGGCGUAAAGCGAACGCAGGUGGUUUGGUAAGUCAGGGGUGAAAUUCCACAGCUUAACUGUGGCAUUGCCUUUGAUACUGCCUUUCUUGAGUGCAUGAGGGGGAAGCGGAAUUCCGAGUGUAGAGGUGAAAUUCGUAGAUAUUCGGAGGAACACCGGUGGCGAAGGCGGCUUCCUGGCAUGUAACUGACACUCAUGUUCGAAAGCGUGGGUAGCAAACAGGAUUAGAUACCCUGGUAGUCCACGCCCUAAACGAUGGGCACUAGGUGUGGGAGGUAUCGA